AAGGGAUGGAUGCAAUGUUUCCAGGCUGUCACUGGGAUGCCGGAGCUGGUGUCCUGCAGACUUCGCUGGGGUCCUUGCAUGGCAGAUGCUGCCCAAAAGUGACACAAGAUGACUCCUGGUUCUCAAAUGGAAGGAGUGUAGCCCUUCUGUGGGAUGGGUCAGGACCAGACUUGCACCUUUUAGGGAGGCUGGGUGUGAUGUGCCUACACCCAGGCCGGUCACAGGGUAUCCUGGUGGCAGGUCCCUUCCCUGGAGAGCUCACACAGGCUGCGCAGCGGAACGCGCCCCUGGGAUCCGCUCCAGGAGACGCAGUGGCAGGGCCAUGAAACAGUUAAAGCUGUAUCGUGUGCUCCCUCCCAAUUGUUCUGCAAGGUGUGCUGUGACAUUUGUACUUCCUCCUGGCAGGCAGGGAGCAGAGGCAGCCAGGGAGAGGCUGCAGGAUGCUGCUGGCCACUCUGCCCCCACCUUGAGGGUCUCUGCUGGGGGGCUCCACCAUGGCCUUCCUCAAGCUCAAGAGCCACUGUGCUUACAUACUCCUCCUGGCUGUGGUGUGCGAUGUGGUCGGGCUGAUCAUCCUCCUCCUGGGAAUUUUUGCUCCACUAAGCUCCUGGGACUUCUUCGUUUACUUGGGAGCUCUGAUACUCGCCUUCAGCCUCCUCUUCUGGGUCUUGUGGUACACAUUCAACAUUGAGAUCCCAUUCAGGGAGCUAGGUUUUAACUAACCCGCAGCUCCAGCAAAGCCGAAAUGGAAACUUGCACUUGGAGGAGCAACGUCACACGUUGGGAAGCUCCAAAGCAUUAUCCAGUUGGUGAAGAGCAUCCAAAAAGACCAAAGGGAUGGGCCUGCUCGUCUCCACAGCAUCUACCAGCCAGAUGGACCUUCAGGGGAAAGCGACCGCGGGAGGCAGACGGGAGGUUUUCUCAGCUCUCCUGGGAGCGUGGAGGCUGUGCUGUGAGUCACAGCGUUUUACAGCCCUACGCUUACCAGGACGCCCAGACCAGGAGUUCAUCUUUACCCUCCACCACCAGGGAAACAGAAAAGGACCAGAGUGUGAAUCUAAGGAGCAAGGAGGUGAAGAGAAGCAGCACCAAGAAAGGAUGCUGUUGUGCUGCUCUUUCAAACUCAUCACUGAAAAUACAAAGAGCUGUGCUCUACUGAUCUGCUGGGCGUGUUGUCACCUCUCUGGGCACAAGCACUUGAAUGGUGGACAACCUUUUUGCAUCCUCUCUAAGCACAUCACACUCCUACCCACUGCCUUUGUCUCAGCGGGUCCAACACAAGCGGCAGGGCCACUGCAAGCUCUCCUGGCUGUGGCCAGGCAGGAUCCAGCUGACAGGCUGGACCAGUUCUGCAGACUUCACCGCAUGGAUGGGAAGGACUGGUUCAACAGGGCUCACAGCUGGAGAGACUGCCUGAGGUGUCGCUGACUCCCUGGCCUGGGGACCUUCUCUGUGUAUUGAGGCACCCAACAGGAGAGGGAGACAACAUCAUCAGACAGGACAGAGGAUUUCCUAAGCAAAACCCAGCUGCUGGCUAGAUAGAGAGGUCUUAGGUACAUUUUACCUAAUCUCACCAAGGUCCCAGGCACUUUCUACAUGGUACUUAAUGAAAAACUCAGAAGAUCUUGGUUCAAAGAACUACUGGGGCCCUGGACAGUUGCGAAGCCCAGGAACAGAUUUCCUGCUUCAGCUGUCAAACUGAUGGAGGCUCCACAUGGAAACAAACUUCCUGGCUGACUCAAAAUGUAAAUCCCAGGUGACAGGAGACCAAGAGACCCACAUCUCCAUCCUCCUGUGUCCCUGCUGCAGUGUUCAGCUGACCAUAAAGCCACUUGUGUAGGAUGGAAGCACAUAUAACACCUAUCAAAUAGGUUAUUCAGCACUUUCCAUUACAGAUGCCUCUUUUCAGUUGUUUAAAUCUGAAAUUUUAAAGUUUAUUUCUUUGUCAUUUCCCAUCUGAGAGGGUUUGGUGCUUCCCUCAGUCCCUCUCUCUGCAGACCAGCUGAGAGGACAGUGUCAGUACUCAGGGACUUCUGUGACAGUCAAGACACGCUCUGCUAAAUAGGCUCAACAAGGAGAUACCUUGACCUGAUGUAGGAGAGAUCUCUCCCACCAUUUCAGAAAUACCCCCACAGACUUUCCUGGGGUGAUGGAGAUGUGAUUUGGGCCCGAUGUGCACAUUCUGCUUGCAGUCCCUUCAGCUCCAUCAGCUGCUUCAAGCAGAGUUCAAGAGGUCCCCAGGAGAGCACAUGGAGAACAAAACACUUGGGUCUCCAAAGAGAGGGCUGUGCUGAGGAUGCCAGCCUUCACCACUGCCAGACAACAGCACGGACCAAGUAACACUUUAUGGGUGAUAUCAGGCCUUGGCUGGCCUUGCUGGACUUAAUUUUAGCACUUUGGGUGAUAGCAACAGCAGUGUGGUCUGUGGGCAAGUUGUUCAUUGUGGGAACUACUAACUCAGGGGGGAAUCUGGCAGCUCUUCUCUGUAUCUAGUUCCCAGGGCAUGAGAUGGUGGCAGAGCUGACAUCUCAGCCUCUGCCAUGAGCAGGCAACUGGUGCCCCCAGUAGCCAUCUAACCAUCCUGUCUUCCCACCCUGGGAAAGAAGGCUCCCUGCUCAACCCCAUGGAUGGUGGAGGUCCCUCAUCCUCAAAGCAUUGAAAUAACUUAUAUUUGAAGCUUAGGCCUAUUUGGGGCUAAAUCCUGUCCCAGGUAGAAGAGGGACCACCUCCCAGUUCCCCAGAAUAUCAGUCAGGGAAUCACUAAGCAAGGGAUGCAGUCAGGCACCUUGAGCAGGGUACAAGGCUGUCUUCUGGGGAGGUGAAGUGCAACAGAGCCUGUGCCGGGGUGUUUUGCAGCUUUCGGGUUUGUUCUGGAGGAACUGUUUUGGUAUCACCUUUCCAGGACUUUUUGAAUAAAGUUGCCACCCUCCUUUUCA
rnacentral:lncRNA from 1 species